rnacentral:rRNA from 1 species
CAGUCGCCGCGGUAAAACGGAGGGUGCAAGCGUUAAUCGGAAUUACUGGGCGUAAAGCGCACGCAGGCGGUCUGUCAAGUCGGAUGUGAAAUCCCCGGGCUCAACCCGGGAACUGCAUUCGAAACUGGCAGGCUAGAGUCUUGUAGAGGGGGGUAGAAUUCCAGGUGUAGCGGUGAAAUGCGUAGAGAUCUGGAGGAAUACCGGUGGCGAAGGCGGCCCCCUGGACAAAGACUGACGCUCAGGUGCGAAAGCGUGGGGAGCAAACAGGAUUAGAUACCCGGGUAGUCCCUGUCUCUUAUAC